rnacentral:rRNA from 1 species
AACUUUCAGCAACGGAUGUCUUGGCUCCUACAACGAUGAAGAACGCAGCGAAAUGCGAUACGUAAUGCGAAUUGCAGAGUCUAGUGAAUCAUCAAAAUUUUGAACGCACAUUGCGCUUCCUUCUGGGAGCAUGUCUU